rnacentral:rRNA from 1 species
GAUGAACGCUGGCGGCGUGCCUAAUACAUGCAAGUCGAGCGAACAGACGAGGAGCUUGCUCCUCUGACGUUAGCGGCGGACGGGUGAGUAACACGUGGAUAACCUACCUAUAAGACUGGGAUAACUUCGGGAAACCGGAUCUAAUACCGGAUAAUAUAUUGAACCGCAUGGUUCAAUAGUGAAAGACGGUUUUGCUGUCACUUAUAGAUGGAUCCGCGCCGCAUUAGCUAGUUGGUAAGGUAACGGCUUACCAAGGCAACGAUGCGUAGCCGACCUGAGAGGGUGAUCGGCCACACUGGAACUGAGACACGGUCCAGACUCCUACGGGAGGCAGCAGUAGGGAAUCUUCCGCAAUGGGCGAAAGCCUGACGGAGCAACGCCGCGUGAGUGAUGAAGGUCUUCGGAUCGUAAAACUCUGUUAUUAGGGAAGAACAAAUGUGUAAGUAACUAUGCACGUCUUGACGGUACCUACUCAGAAAGCCACGGCUAACUACGUG